rnacentral:rRNA from 1 species
GAUGAACGCUGGCGGCGUGCCUAAUACAUGCAAGUCGAGCGAACAGACGAGGAGCUUGCUCCUCUGACGUUAGCGGCGGACGGAUGAGUAACACGUGGAUAACCUACCUAUAAGACUGGGAUAACUUCGGGAAACCGGAGCUAAUACCGGAUAAUAUAUUGAACCGCAUGGUUCAAUAGUGAAAGACGGUUUUGCUGUCACUUAUAGAUGGAUCCGCGCCGCAUUAGCUAGUUGGUAAGGUAACGGCUUACCAAGGCAACGAUGCGUAGCCGACCUGAGAGGGUGAUCGGCCACCCUGGAACUGAGACACGGUCCAACCCCCUAGGGGGGGCAGCGGUAGGGAAUCUUCCGCAAUGGGGGAAAGCUUGACGGAGCAACGCCGGGUGAGUGAUGAAGGUUUUCGGAUCGUAAAACUCUGUUAUUAGGAAAAAAAAAAUGUGUAAGUAACUAUGCACGUUUUGACGGUACCAAAUCAAAAAGCCACGGCUAACUACGU